GAUGAACGCUGGCGGCGUGCCUAAUACAUGCAAGUCGAGCGAACGGUCGAGAAGCUUGCUUUUCUGAUGUAAGCGGCGUACGGGUGAGUAACACGUGGCUAACCUACCUAUAAGACUGGGAUAACUUCGGGAAACCGGAGCUAUUACCGGAUAAUAUUCUGAACCGCAUGGUUCAAAAUAGCAAGACGGUCUUGCUGUCACUUAUAGAUGGUUCCGCGCUGCAUUAGCUAGUUGGUAAGGUAACGGCUUACCAAGGCAACGAUGCAUAGCCGACCUGAGAGGGUGAUCGGCCACACUGGGACUGAGACACGGUCCAGACUCCUACGGGAGGCAGCAGUAGGGAAUCUUCCGCAAUGGGCGAAGGCCUGACGGAGCAACGCCGCGUGAGUGAUGAGGGUCUUCGGAUCGGAAAACUCUGUUAUUAGGGAAGAACAUAUGUGUAAGUAACUGUGCACAUCUUGACGGUACCUAAUCAAAAAGCCACGGCUAACUACGUG
rnacentral:rRNA from 1 species